rnacentral:rRNA from 1 species
GAUGAACGCUGGCGGCGUGCCUAAUACAUGCAAGUCGAGCGAACAGAUAAGGAGCUUGCUCCUUUGAAGUUAGCGGCGGACGGGUGAGUAACACGUGGGUAACCUACCUAUAAGACUGGGAUAACUUCGGGAAACCGGAGCUAAUACCGGAUAACAUUUAGAACCGCAUGGUUCUAAAGUGAAAGAUGGUUUUGCUAUCACUUAUAGAUGGACCCGCGCCGUAUUAGCUAGUUGGUAAGGUAACGGCUUACCAAGGCGACGAUACGUAGCCGACCUGAGAGGGUGAUCGGCCACACUGGAACUGAGACACGGUCCAGACUCCUACGGGAGGCAGCAGUAGGGAAUCUUCCGCAAUGGGCGAAAGCCUGACGGAGCAACGCCGCGUGAGUGAUGAAGGGUUUCGGCUCGUAAAACUCUGUUAUUAGGGAAGAACAAAUGUGUAAGUAACUGUGCACAUCUUGACGGUACCUAAUCAGAAAGCCACGGCUAACUACGUGCCAGCAGCCGCGGUAAUACGUAGGUGGCAAGCGUUAUCCGGAAUUAUUGGGCGUAAAGCGCGCGUAAGCGGUUUCUUAAGUCUGAUGUGAAAGCCCACGGCUCAACCGUGGAGGGUCAUUGGAAACUGGGAAACUUGAGUGCAGAAGAGGAAAGUGGAAUUCCAUGUGUAGCGGUGAAAUGCGCAGAGAUAUGGAGGAACACCAGUGGCGAACGCGACUUUCUGGUCUGUAACUGACGCUGAUGUGCGAAAGCGUGGGGAUCAAACAGGAUUAGAUACCCUGGUAGCUCCACGCCGUAAACGAUGAGUGCUAAGUGUUAGGGGGUUUCCGCCCCUUAGUGCUGCAGCUAACGCAUUAAGCACUCCGCCUGGGGAGUACGACCGCAAGGUUGAAACUCAAAGGAAUUGACGGGGACCCGCACAAGCGGUGGAGCAUGUGGUUUAAUUCGAAGCAACGCGAAGAACCUUACCAAAUCUUGACAUCCUUUGAAAACUCUAGAGAUAGAGCCUUCCCCUUCGGGGGACAAAGUGACAGGUGGUGCAUGGUUGUCGUCAGCUCGUGUCGUGAGAUGUUGGGUUAAGUCCCGCAACGAGCGCAACCCUUAAGCUUAGUUGCCAUCAUUAAGUUGGGCACUCUAGGUUGACUGCCGGUGACAAACCGGAGGAAGGUGGGGAUGACGUCAAAUCAUCAUGCCCCUUAUGAUUUGGGCUACACACGUGCUACAAUGGACAAUACAAAGGGCAGCUAAACCGCGAGGUCAUGCAAAUCCCAUAAAGUUGUUCUCAGUUCGGAUUGUAGUCUGCAACUCGACUACAUGAAGCUGGAAUCGCUAGUAAUCGUAGAUCAGCAUGCUACGGUGAAUACGUUCCCGGGUCU